rnacentral:rRNA from 1 species
AUGAUCAGAAAGUUUUCGUGGGGACGCAAAUAUGGAAGAAUGAAGGUAGCGUGGGUACCUUGGGAUGUGAUGACCAGGCCAAAAACUAUGGGAGGCGCGGGGUUUAGAGAUCUGGAGCUUGUCAACCUUUCCCUCCUUGCACGCCAACCUUGCAAAUUAAUGAUUGAUCCAUCAUCCUUGAGUGCGAGGAUUCUUAAAGUUGUGUACUUCCUAAACACCUUGAUCCUUGAAGCUACUAUCGGUCCACAUCCUUCAUAGAUUUGGCGGUCAGUCCUUGAGGGUGGAGAUGUUCUAUGGCAUGGUCUUAUAGGGAGAAUGGGGGAUAGAGCAUCGACAGAAAUCGGGAACCAUAGUUGGCUUCCCAGGGAAGGAUCUAUGUGA